GACGAACGCUGGCGGCGUGCUUAACACAUGCAAGUCGAACGGUAAGGCCCUUCGGGGUACACGAGUGGCGAACGGGUGAGUAACACGUGGGUGAUCUGCCCUGCACUUCGGGAUAAGCCUGGGAAACUGGGUCGAAUACCGGAUAGGACCACUUCCUGCAUUGGUGGUGGUGGAAAGCUUUUGCGGUGUGGGAUGGGCCCGCGGCCUAUCAGCUUGUUGGUGGGGUGAUGGCCUACCAAGGCGACGACGGGUAGCCGGCCUGAGAGGGCGACCGGCCACACUGGGACUGAGAUACGGCCCAGACUCCUACGGGAGGCAGCAGUGGGGAAUAUUGCACAAUGGGCGCAAGCCUGAUGCAGCGACGCCGCGUGAGGGAUGACGGCCUUCGGGUUGUAAACCUCUUUCAGCACCGACGAAGCGCAAGUGACGGUAGGUGCAGAAGAAGGACCAGCCAACUACGUGCCAGCCGCCACAGUAA
rnacentral:rRNA from 1 species